AAAAGAGGCUUAUUUUUUAAACAAUUUGAAUAUAUUCCUGCUCUUAGUCUUAUCUUUUCUUUCCUCACCUUUCCAGUACCAAGUUAGGACAAAGAGGAGAAGAUGAAAGCCAAUGUGCAACUAGAAAGUGAUGACCUGAUUGUUAUCACUGAAACUUGGUGGGAUGAAUCCUGUGACUGGAAUGCAGCUUUUGAUAGCUACAGGCUGUUCAGGAAGGACAGGAGAGGAAGGAGGGGCAAAUGGGUUGCGCUCUACAUCCAGAAAUGGAUAGAGUGUGAAGAGCUGACUCUGAAGAGCAGCAGUCUGAAAAUUUAUGGGUGAGAGACAGAGACCGAGGCAACAAAGGAAAUCUUGUGUCUGUCUACUACAGGGCAAGAAUGCAAGAGCUCUCAAUCCCCAUACACAAGAAAUUGAGCAAGAAUGGCAAGGGACUAGCAUGGCUGAGUAGAGACCUGUUGGCCAAAAUAAAGGAAAAUAAGCAGGCAGGGGAAACAGGGACAGGCACCCUGGGAUAUAUAGAGGGAUGCUGCUCGGUUGUGCAGGGAUGGGGGCAGGAAGGCCAAGGUGCAGCUGGGAUUGAACUUGGAAAGGGAUGCAAGGAAUAACAAGGGCUGCUACAUAUAUGUUAACCAGAAAAGGAAGAUGAAAGAAAGCAUACCCCAUGGAUGCACAAGACUGACAAACUGGUAACAGUUGUCAAGGAGAAGGGUGAGGUACAAACCAAGGUACAGUUCUUUCUCCAGUGUCCAGUGGUGUCCCUUGGGGACUCAUACUGGGACCAGUACUGUUUAAUAUCUUCAUCAAUGACAUAGGCAAUGGGAUUGAGUGCACCCUCACCAAGUUUGAGACUACAUCAAGCUGAGUGAUGUGACUGACAUGUCUGAAGGACAGAAUGCCAUCCAGAGGGACCUGGACAAGCCCAGGGAUGGGCCCCUCGGAACUGCUUGGUGCUCCACUAAGCCAAGUUCCAGGUGCUGCACCUGAGUUGAAGCAAUCCCAAACAGAAACACAAGCUGGGCAUAGAAUGAAUUGAGAGCAACCUUGCUAAGAAGGACUUGGGAAUACUGGUGAACAAAAAGCUGGAUGUGACUUGGCAAUGUGAGCUGGCAGCACAAAAAGGCCAACUGUAUCCUGGGCUGCAUCUGAAGCAGUUUGCCCAGCAGGUCAAGGGAGGUGAUUCAGCCUUUCUACUCUGCUCUGGUGAGACCCCACCUGGAGUACGUUGUCCAGCUUUGGAGCCCUCUGCACAGGAAAGGCACAGACCUCUUGGAAAAGAUCCAAAGGGGAGCCAUGAAGAUGAUCAAAGGGCUGGAGCACUUCUCCCGUGAAAGCAGGCUGAUAGAGUUGGGAUUAUUCAGCCUGGAGAAAAGAAGACUACAGCCUUUCAGUAUUUGAAAAUAGCUUAUAAGAAAGAUGGAUACAAACUUCUUAGCAGGGGCUGUUGCAACAGGACAUGGAGAAAUGGGUUUAAACUAAAAAAUGGGUAUAUUUGGAGAAGAUAUAAAGAUGACAUUUUUUAUUAUGAGAGAGGUGAAGCAUUGGCACAGGUUGCCCAGAGGAGAAGGCAAGGUUCAGGUUUCUCAGAAGACACUAGAGAAAGUUCAGGUUGGACAUCAAGAAGAAUUUCUUCACAGAAAUGGUUGUUAAACAUUGGAAUGUACUGCCCAAAGAGGUAGUGAAGUCACAAUCCCUGGAACUGUUCAAGAAACGACUGGACAUAGCACAUAGUGCCAUGGUCUAGCUGACAGGGAGGUGAUCAGUCAAAGACUGGACUUGAUGAUCUAGAGGUCUUUUCCAACCUAAAAGAUUCUGUGAUGCAUAGAGGUGAUAGAUACCUCAUCCUGGAAACUUCCAAGGCCAGGAAUGGGGACGGCGCCCUGAGGAAACUUACCUGGUUGCACGUGUCCAUGUUAAUUGCAGAAGGGAUAGUCUAGAUAAUCUUUAAAGGUCCUUUCCAACCCAAGUUAUUCUGUAAUUCUGUGAUUCCAUGACUUGAGCCUGAGUUUUUAAUCUUAAUGCACUCCUUAACUCAGCUUUGUAGAUGGCCUUUAGAGCUACAAAAGUUCACUUCAUUCAAAGCUUGAUCCACCUACUUGCUUCCACCAGAAAAUAGAUUUAAGUGUUAGCACUUGCUCAUAUUAGAGAGCUAGAUAGGGAUCUGCAAUACAACAGACUAUGCUAGAGGAAAGCUUUAUGCAAAAUUUUGAUAUUAAUCAUUCAAAGGGAGAUGCUAAAGGUGAGAACAGGACUUUUCUGCAGGGAGACUGCCACAGAGGAAAGGACGUCCUUCAGCCUGCAGUGACAGGGAUUCUCAGCUACUCAGCAGAGAACUGGACAGUGAGAGUAACCUGGGCAAUGUGCUACAUGGACGCUGGAAAGCUGGGGAAGAACAUAGACAGUAAGCUGCAGAUGAUGGGCUGGAAAAGCCUGUGCCCAUGGGAUGCAAACCAUUAGGGCCCUGCUUCCUUCAAAGAUAAAACUGACUGCUGGUUUCAAGGGCUAUUUAUUGCCAUGACAGUGAUAUAUCACUCUGAGUACUGCCUCUUAAAGGAUUAUUAGCACCUACCUGAUCUGAAAAAGUACAAACAUUCAACCAAAAUUGCUGUAUUAAUAGAUAAGUCGAAAAUAAAUAAACAAGAAACAAACAGAACCUUUUUAAAAGAAGGAACUGCAACUGAAAUACUUUAAAGAUAAAUAAACUUUUACAUUUGACUCCCUCUAGAGUAUAUU